GAAUAUGAAGCGAUGGAUUGCAAUUAGUUUCGACCUAAUUUUAGGUAAAUUUACCCAUAUUCU
rnacentral:tRNA from 1 species